CCCUAACGAAAAUGACCCUUACCCAUGAACCAACAACCAAACACAAACUAAUAAUAGCAAAAAAUCACCCACCAGAACCCCAAUAUCCUUAUUAGUUAAACAAAACUCAACCCAAAAAACAAAACCAACACAAAAAUCUCAUAACAACACAAAAUAUCUUACCAACUCUCCAGAGGAAACACAUCAACAACACUCCAAAUUCUUCUCCAAAAUCAGCACUAUGCCUUAAACAAACCAGGCCUUUACAAACCUGAAAACGCCAGCGCAGAUCCCAUCAUGAAACCGAGCAUAUCCGCUUCCGAAACAGAGAUAAAACCAUCUCUAGACCUCCUAAUUUCAGAAGAAAGGUGCAGCAACCACGGACUUUUUAAACGCGCCACUUCCAAUUAUAUCAGAAACAUUUGAUACUGCAAAAAUGGAAAAAAAUGCUCUAUCGGCACCCUCCUUGUCACUCAAGACUCCUCCACAACCAAACUCAGUCCUCAUUUGCAAUUCUACACACGAAUAACUUAAAAUAACCAUGUGGAGAAAGUGA
rnacentral:lncRNA from 1 species